rnacentral:sRNA from 1 species
CUGGAAUGUUUCCUUCCAACUUCAUCAAGGAGCUGUCAGGGGAGUCGGAUGAGCUUGGCAUUUCCCAGGAUGAGCAGCUAUCCAAGUCAAGCAAGGAUUACUGCAAAGUAAUAUUUCCAUAUGAGGCACAGAAUGAUGAUGAAUUGACAAUCAAAGAAGGAGAUAUAGUCACUCUCAUCAAUAAGGACUGCAUCGAUGUAGGCUGGUGGGAAGGAGAGCUGAACGGCAGACGAGGCGUAUUUCCCGAUAACUUCGUGAAGUUACUUCCACCGGACUUUGAAAAGGAAGGGAAUAGACCCAAGAAGCCACCGCCUCCAUCCGCUCCUGUCAUUAAACAAGGGGCAGGCACCACUGAGAGAAAACAUGAAAUUAAAAAGAUACCUCCUGAAAGACCAGAAAUGCUUCCAAACAGAACAGAAGAAAAAGAAAGACCAGAGAGAGAGCCAAAACUGGAUUUACAGAAGCCCUCCGUUCCUGCCAUACCGCCAAAAAAGCCUCGGCCACCUAAGACCAAUUCUCUCAGCAGACCUGGCGCACUGCCCCCG